UGGGGAGAGAAUGCCAUGGUGAGCGAUCAGAACCUCACUCAAACAUGCUAUACUGUAUUCUCCCUGCACUUCUGCGUAACCUUUAACUCCUUCAUGAUCUGUUUAAUCACAGGGCUUUCAUACUUCGGUGUCCCCGCGUGGGUUUGAAUGUGGAUUCAACCCAGAGAGCACCAUCAAGAAGGAGGAGGAGCCGGGGUCACUGCCUCUGUCUCUCACUGUUUCUGACUACCUCACUCCGUCCUGGUCUCUGUCUCCCUCCUCGUCUCCGCUCUCUCACUCCGAGGCCAGCGACUCCGACCGAGAGGAGGACGAGGAGGAGGAAGAGGACGACGAUGAUGACGACGACGACGAAGAGGACCUGGAGGAUCUGCGGGGACGCAUGAUGAGACGCCGCAAGAAACGGAAAACCUCGGCGACCGUCAAGAAGAAAGCCCAGCCCCACCCCCUGUCCUUCACAUGCCCCGCCCCUUCCUCGCCACCGCCCUUCCAGCAGCCUCUAGCCCCGCCCACGACGAACAUAAACAAUAAUAUAAACAUAAACAUCGGCGCGAGCGGCACGCUCUCCCGCAGANCAGCAGCCCGAGGUCCGAGCCGCCAUGGAGCUGUCGCACCCCCCCAAUCAAGACGCCUCCUCGCACCCCUUCUCCUCUCCCCCUCAGCCCUCGGCCGUCCUGGGAACCACCUCCCUGUUCUCCCGCGAGCGAGACGCUUUGUCUUCGCCUCCCAAAUCGGCAGGAGUCUCUUUCUCGCUCUCGCUGUCUCCUCCCCCCGCCUCCAGCUCCUCAAAGAAGAGCUCCGCGAUGAAUGUGACGCCUAGGAAGGGCACUAGGAAGAGCCCCGGCGUCUCGCCCAACCCUCCCGCCCGGAGGGGACGGCCGCCGAAGAAGCAGAAAGAACUGCAGCUGAAGAAGCAGGAGGAGGCAGAGCGGGCGAAAGAGGAGGCGCCUGGGAAACAGGAGGAGAAUGAAGACGAGGAGGACUUCGACGCAAGCACAGAGCAGAAGAACGGAGAGAUGGCGAGCUCUGGACGCUCUCACAUGCCUCCUCUGCUGUCGUCCCUCUCCACGCUGGUGCUGUAUCUCCGGCGGCAGCAGCACGCCUCGUUCCUGUCGCUGUCCCGCGCUCCGGCGGCGGCUGAGGCCUGGCGUCUGCUCUGCCACUCCAGCCUGGCUCUGCUGAUCCUCUACAACCGGCACCGCGAGUGUGAGGUGGCCAAGCUCACGGUGCAGGACUACCGCAGCCGCGCCGCGCCCUCCUCUCCCUCGCUGGAGGCGUCGCUGUCCCCGUUCGAGCGCGCCGUGCUCUGUCUGCUGCCGCGUGUGGGUGUCCUGGGCAAACGUGGCCGGCUCCAGCCGCUCAUCCUUCCUCCGCACUCAGAGGCGUGUCUGGAUCUGCUCCUGAAGACGUCUGCAGACGUGGGUGUGGAUCCCCAGAGCCCCUAUGUGUUCUCCCGGCCGUAUCACUCCCCGGCCACGCCGCUGCGCGGGACAGACCUGCUGCGGAGCCUGGCGCGCUCUAGCGGUGCUAAGAACCCCGCGGCGCUCACCGCUCCCCGCGCACGCCGACAGGUGGCCAUCCUGACCCAGCUGCUGCUGCUGGAGGAGGGCGAGCGCACGCCGGGCGCAGCCACGAGACGCCUGGAGGACUUCCUGCAGAGCGAGUAUCACGUGACUCAGAGCUGCGCUCGGAUUGGUCAGGACGCGGCGCUGAUGAACCGCGUGGGGAGAGUCGUUCUGUACGGAGAGAGAGAGGGAGUGCUGUUCAGAGGAAUGAGCCUGCAGCACAUCUGCCUCGAGCUGGACGGUACACACACACUCCUGCUCACCGAGACUGCACUUAUCCGAUCAAAAAUACAGGAAAAACAGUGAAAUAUUAUUCUAAUGUAAAGCAGCUGUGUUCUAUGUGAAUCUCUGUUAAAGUGUAAUUUAUUUCUGUGAUGCGCAGCUGUAUUUUCAGCAUCAUUACUCCAGUCUUCAGUGUCACAUGAUCUUCAGAAAUCAUUCUAAUAUGAUGAUUUACUGCUCAAGAAACAUUUCUGAUUAUUAUCAAUGUUGAAAACAGUUGUGCUGCACAAUAUUUUUGUGUAAACUGUGAUACAUUUUAUUUUUCAGGAUUCACAGAUGAACAGAAAGUUCAAAAGAACAGCAUUUAUUUGAAAUAGAGAUCUUUUGUCACAUUAUAAAUGCCUUUACUAUCACUUUUGAUCAAUUUAAUGCGUCCUUGAUUAAUGAAAGUAUAAAUAAAAAAAGAAAAAUCAUCA
ensembl:lncRNA